rnacentral:lncRNA from 1 species
AAAGUACAAUGUUGAGGAAGAUCCGACAGAUCCGGCUCCUCCUCCUCUGCUCUCCUCUUCUCUCUCCCUAUUUUCUAGAUUACAACUAGAACUUACUAGAACUAGAACUAGAACUAGAUGAACUAGAACUAGAACUAGAUGAACUAGAGGGAUCCUCUCUACUUGGAUGAAUAAUUGAAACUCUAGCUUUGAUUCUGUAGAAGAGGUAUGUUCUCCAGGAGGCCAGGGGGUCUGCUUUUAUAGUCCUUCCAAGUGAAUAUGGGCCGUCGGAUCAAACCGACAUUAAUCGCACGAUUUUCCUUGAUCCCUUAAUUCGGUGGAGCAUGAUCCGCGAAGUUGACCCUAAUUGGGCACUACAUGAGGGCGGGCGACCUGGUCUCUAGGGCGGGCACCCUGGGCCAGGCCCCGUUCUGCCUUAGCUUUGUUCCCGUGGCUUCUGAAGUCUUCUAGAUGAUAGAAAAUUACCGCACACAUUAAUAUCUCUAUGUAAACCCGAUGUGUGGGCCUUUCCUCCAUAUUUCCUGAUAACCCCCUGCAGAAAUAUACAAACACCAAAACUCGUGGAAUUCUAUCAGAUAAAAACCCUAAGUCUGCGGGUUGGUUGCAUUUGGAUCCUUUUCUAUGAUUAGUUGACGGUUAAAUGUGAGCAUUAAGGACCGUCAACAAGCUCCCCCAAGCUUAACCUUUGCUCGUCCCUGAGCAAAGCUAAAAUCAGCAAGGAAACAAGGGUUACCUUUAUGCCUCUUACUACAGGGUUUUUAAGUUAUCACUAAGGUCUUAAGUGAUUGAAAAAUAGAACGAUCAAGUCAAGUACUAUAUCUCAAAUUCUUCUGUCUUACCUUUGUUCUAGAGUUUUUUAUAAGUCUGCAAAAUAAAACUGAGGCAUUUGCCUUCUUCUCGAAAGAUAUAUAUAAGUAGAGCUUUAAAAGUUUUAGCAUACUUACUUUGCAUUUUGCUAUGUCAAUGCUUGGAGUCAAGGGAGAGGAAUGUCAUACUCCUAGAUCAAGACCUUUGACCUUUUUGAAAAGUUUGUCAUCUCUUACUGGCAUAUUACUUAUUAGAGGGACCAUGGGCUAUCAUUUUUUCUUUUUUUCUCUUUUUUUAAGUCUCUCUCUUUUUUUUCUUUUUUUUCAUGUUGGCACCAAGUACCCCUAAUUCUACUGUCGGACAUGUGUCCAUUUUUUUCACUCAGGUGGGCAUCUUUGUACCCCUAAUUCUACUUCGGACAUUUGUCCAUUUUUACCUCUCGUCUCACUCUUUUUUUUUCGAAUCAAAUUUUUGCAUAGUCCCAUGCCUCUAACGCAAUAAUACUUCGGAAGAGUGAAUCUUUUAUAUGUUUAAAACAAAAAGACCUUGAUCUUUGGAGCAUGAUAAUUCUCUCAAACAAAACUACACGAAUUAACAAUGGCUUGAACAAAGCAAGUGCCCACAGUUUUAAUAUUUAUAUCUUAUAAGACUCUAGGUAUUAUGUCAAACAAGAUCUUAUUCAUUUUUAGAUUUUCAAAAGAUAAAAUCUCCAGAACUCUAGCGAAACAUAGAACAAGUUAAAUAGUAGCUCAGACCUUCUCAUAUCAUGUUUGUCAAUUAUCUAGACUUGGAUCAAACUUUCUUUUUAUUUUAUUUAAAACUUAGGAUUACACAAAACUAUUGUAUAUUACUCAAAAGAAAAACUUUGUUUGGUUUCAUGGUUAAGCAUUUUUUAUUUCCGAAUACUAGUAAAUAAAACCAAGAAAGAAAAGUAAUACUUAUCUAGAUACACAUGGGGGUACCUCUCCUGUAACAGAACCGCCCAAAUUAUAAGAGAUUAAGCCUAAUAGCGAACAUUUGCAUAGUCAAACCAUCGAGCUUAAGCCCAUAUAAUCCCGGUAGUCCGUGAAAUCUCGAAGGAUUUCAAACCACAUAUCGUACAUACAGCCAAGAUCGUAAUAAGUUUAGCGGUCACCAUCCACAAUUACAUCCAGUUCAUAAACAUUCAUCAAAUACAUUGGAGUGCUUAAAGUUAUUACAAACCAAGUUCUCAAGUAGUAGAAGCUUCAUAGUUUGAAAGUACACACACAAGUUCAGUUGAUACAGUGCCCUAGUUUGGUCAUUCCCACAAAAGCACAAGAGAAGACAGAGUGACCAUCGCCCUUGGUGUAGUCAUCGCCCAUCGUUGGGUACAAGCAGAGGAUGUAAUAACCAUAGUACAUUUGACCAUCUACAAAACAACAUGGGAGUAGAACCCUGAGUACGAGAAUGUACUCAGCUAGACUUACCCGUCAUAAAUAAAAAACAAAGACUCUUCAAGGAUCAUGAAGGCUAUAUAGUGGGGUGGCUGAGACUGUGGGGGUAUAAACCCCUAUACCCUUACGGCUAGACUUGGGCCAGGAGGCUUGGCCCAUUACGAGACGAGUUCAAGGCUUGAUUCGACAGCUUGGAGUUUUGCGCAAGGAAACAAGAUGUGGAGAUCAAGCAGGAUUCUAGUCGGUUAGAAUAGGAAUUGAUAUCGAAUUAUCCAUGGCAAUUGUAACCGACUAGGAUUAGUUUCU